rnacentral:rRNA from 1 species
UACAGAGGGUGCGAGCGUUGUCCGGAAUCACUGGGCGUAAAGGGCGCGUAGGCGGCUUUUCAAGCGUGCGGUGAAAGCUCGGGGCUUAACUCCGAGUCUGCCGUGCGAACUGGGAGGCUUGAGUCUGGUAGAGGUCGAUGGAAUUCCGGGUGUAGCGGUGGAAUGCGUAGAGAUCCGGAAGAACACCGGUGGCGAAGGCGGCUCUCUGGGCCUUACCUGACGCUGAGGAGCGAAAGCGUGGGUAGCGAACAGG